CUCUGCCUCAGAGGUCUUCUCAAGCCACUACUGUUCCCAAGGAUGCCUAAUUGCAAUGCCAGCUUCUGAGGUGAACAUGGACCCACUGUCACCGGGCAAGGUCUAGGAUGAACAUGGAUACCCACCAUUAUCGGGGAGAUUCCAGAGUGGACAUGGACCCACCAUCAUCAGGCAGCUUCCUGGAGUAUUCCGAAGCUGGUGGGUGUCAUCUGGCGGAUGUGACUGGGUACCAGUGCCAGAGCAUGUGCCCACUGAGCAGUCUUCUUCACUUUCCUCGAUCCUCAUGAAACAUUCUGGGAUCUUUACCGCAAAGGACUCCAGAGGCUACAUCAUUGUCUUGGAACUGGUCAGUGGCUGGAGCUCUCUCCAGGACAAGUGCUUGGAGGAAGAACCUGGACAAGCUUUCCUCCCCAUACUGUUGACUGGAUCUUAUAUCUACCGUUAGCCACCAUCAUCGCCACUGCGUGCCUCUUAGGAGCAUUUCCAGGAGGUGAUGCCAGCUGGGGAAAGAGCCUCUGUCCCACAGCCGUCGGUGCCCGCUGCAGCCUGCGCCCGGGAUGUCACGGCCUCAGCUCAACACCUCUGCUGGACAGCUUCAGGUGGUGGUUCCAGCUCCAGGGUUGCUGCGGUCAACACUGGGUACUUGAGGAGAGGUUGUCUGUGAUGAGUUCGCUUUAUUAAUGACGAAUAUAACACAGAUGGCCUGUUUUCAAUACCACCUGCCACUCCGGUCACUCGGCAGUACAUACCAGGUGUCACACCACUGCCCGGCAGGUGACGAAGUUGAAUUGGUCCUCAGGAGCAGAUGUUCAAGGAACCCUGCCUAUGCUCCAUGCCAGCUGCCAGUCCUUAGGUUGGGAGAUUCCACUGGAGACAUCCAUGGGAGAGCUAUGGCCAUUAACAAGUCCUGAGACCUGACCUGAAGCCAUCAGUGGCCCAGCUGCUCUACCUGACUUUGUUGCCUCUUCCUGGAUCUCUCGCUUAUGACAACCGACGACAAAGAUGUUUGACUCCAGAAGAUGCUCCCCGCGGCCCACCUGAGAGGACUCUCCAUACCCCACCCCACUGCCAUCUACCUCUGAGUCCCCAACUCAUAGCCCCUGCUUCUCAUCCAUGUUUCAACUCCCACCCCAGAGCCUUGUAUUCCAGAUCUGAGCAGCCCUUGCUUAGGAACCUGAGGUGGGGGUGGGUAGGCAGACCCAGGGGACUGAGCAGGGAGGGGAAGGAGGGGUUUCUGCUCUUGGCUUUCAAAGUUCUCAGUGUGUGUAGCCCUUUGAAUAAUAAACAUAUAUCAUAUAAUGUAAA
rnacentral:lncRNA from 1 species